UCUCCGUUGGUGAACCAGCGGAGGGAUCAUUACCGAGUUUACAACUCCCAAACCCAAUGUGAACGUUACCAAACUGUUGCCUCGGCGGGGUCACGCCCCGGGUGCGUCGCAGCCCCGGAACCAGGCGCCCGCCGGAGGAACCAACCAAACUCUUUCUGUAGUCCCCUCGCGGACGUUAUUUCUUACAGCUCUGAGCAAAAAUUCAAAACGAAUCGAAACUUUCAACAACGGAUCUCUUGGUUCUG
rnacentral:misc_RNA from 1 species